GCGGAUGCGGAAGGCACACAAUACGGGACUUCCAUGGAUUUUGUCAUGGCGGGGGAGUGGUGUGGGGAAAGGUCCUGAAACCAACCUCAAAUAUUCUAAGGAACAACUAUUUUGUCAGGAAUUUGAAACAGUCUGGCUGGAUAGUUCUUGAUGGAGGUGUCUCAUCAGACUAUAGUCAUGUAGCCAAAGCUGUAAUCAUCGGAAGGCUUGACUGGCGCAGAAGCAUCCAUUUCCAAGAGUCAUGCAGAACAGACAGAAGGAAGAAAAUCAGCCCCGUGCUCUCUGCCUACACAAUGGCACCAUCUUCAAGGAAAGGAAGCUCUGCUUCAUACAGAACAGUUCCAGGCUCCAGUGGUGGCUUUUAAAAAAUGAAUACAAGGGAUUAUCACAGCAAAGAAAUAUUAUGAGUUAGAGAGCUUUCUUCAGUGGGAGAUAUAUGAAACAAGACAUCUUUGAGAAUUCCCACAAUGAGAAUGAGUCUCACCUCCUGAAACUUACAGAUGAUUAACAAAAUUUUCCUUUUUAGGUCCUAGUAGCCACUGUUUCGUUUAGCAGAAAAACAGCCUGUUAAGUUCUGAUGGUAAUUUGUGCCCUUUUGCUUGGGUUUAAAUAAAAGA